AAAGGCAUUGGAGGUUAUCAAAAAGCUUCACAAGGAUCAAUCUCAAGAAAUAAAGGCAUAUAAGUUGAAAUUGGAGAAUCUUCAGACUUUGAAAGAUGCUGCUUACAAGUUGCGGGAAAGCAUUUCUCAGGACAAAGAGAAAACAGAGGCACUGAAGAGUCAGAUGGAGGAGCUUGAAAAAGAGAUUCAGACUUUAGAUAGUAAGAUCCACCAUACCGAAGCAACUUUAAAGGACCUUCAUCAAUUGCAGCGAGACAUAGCCACCAAAAAUGCUGAAAGGAGCACAUUGUUCAAGGAAAAGGAAAAACAGUAUGCAGCACUUGCAGAGGAGAAUGAAGACACUGAUGAA
rnacentral:misc_RNA from 1 species